UGGUGACCUUGAAAAGUAUGUCAAGGUCACCGACCUUUGAACCCAUGCGAAGUACUCCUCCAAGGCAUGUACCCACCAAAAAUAUAAUAUUUCUGCAAGCAAUAGGUGCGAAGCUACAUUGCGGUGAACGAAUUGCGGCCAAACAGAGAGACGGCCGGACAACCCGGAUGCUAUAUGCCCCGCCUUCUAUGAAUAGAAUUUUGUGCGGCAAAAAAUAAAGAUACGCAUCGAAUCAGAGGAGGGAACCAGCCAGUGGCCCUCAUUUAUCAAUGCUGCGCAGAGUACAGUGCAUAUUUUGAGUGCAAAUGUGAAAUACACACGAGGUAAAGCAGGAUUUCUGAA